GAUCAGGUGAAUCCUUUCAUAAUUAAUAAGACAGCUCAGCUGAAAUGGCGAGGAGACGGGGCCCUAUUGAUCUGGCAGUCGAGCUGCUUCCACCUCUCCUAUUUAUAGGCUCCGCAUGGCCUCACGGAGGAGUAAACAUUCGAGAGUAAACACGAGCGGAAGAGGCCGGGGUCCAAGCUGCAGAACUGGAGCCGGCUGGGGAGGGAGAACCGAACGAGAGGAACAGCAUCUCCUAGGGGCCCUUCCUUGAGGUUGGGGCCGGAGCAGCCCCGAAACCGAACGCCCGAAUAAGGAAACCGUGCCAGCCCCGCCCAUCCCGGCUUCGACAAUCUCCCCACUCCAGCCCCACCGGGCGAGCAGGAAUGUAACAUUCCUGUCCAGAUUCUUGCCCUGGAAGGACAUCCCCUUUAGAGUGAGCACUCAGGAGCCAGAAGACCUCCAUUACCAGCUGCGUAACCAUGGGCCACGCGCUCCACCCCGCUGGCCUGCUCAGAUCUCAGAGGAUGCUCUGGAUAAGCUCCUUGAAUCAUGCUCGACGGUGACUGCGCCCCCAGACCCUACCUCACCCAACCUGGAUCGAGAGCCUGGGCCAGACCCCCGGCUUUCACUGCCUGCGAACCCCCACCUCGAGUCCCUGGGUUCUCCCAGCACUAACCGAUUCCUCCUGGAGCUUCCCAGGCAGCUUCCCUGCCUCCUCCCCUCCCCCACAGCCAUUCAUAUUAAAUUACUCUCCCAAAAGAGAAAAAAAAUGUAACGUUUAUUGAAUCCAGCAAAGCAAUACAAUGAUACAUAGAGCGAAAAAAAUUAACCGCCCUGCGCUAACGUUAAUAGAGUGACGUGUAUCCUUCCACUCCUUCUCCGUGCUCGUACCUAUAUGACAUAGACCCGUUUGGAGGAUGGGGUUUUUGUUUGUUUUUAUAAAAUUAUGAUGUAUUUUUCUUUUCUACCAAAUCCUUCAAGAUAAAUAGCUAAACAAAUAACUGCUUCGUUUAAAUAGUUACACAAUAUUUCUUACAAGGCCAUACUACAAUUUAUUUCAUUUUCCACCUAUUGACGGACAUGUAGGUUUUCCCAGUUUUUUGCUGUCCUACAAAUAUUGUUGUAAUAAGUAUUCCUGUUCAAACAACAUUAUGUAGUAGUAUUUUUAUUUUUUCAAUAGAAUAGAUUAUCCCCAAAGUUGGAUUACUGGCAGAAAGGUACAUACAGAUGGAUGAUAUUUUUUUAAAUGUGUAUGUGCUUUUAAUUUGAAAAAAAAAAAACAAAAAGUGUUGGAUUACUUUCCCCAACUGUGUAAAGUGCCGGUUUCUCUUCAUCCUCGUCUACACUGUGUGUUAACACUUUAUUGUUUUUGUCAACCCAG
rnacentral:lncRNA from 1 species